rnacentral:lncRNA from 1 species
GUCUGGACAGCUAUGUGAUCCUGACUUGUUUUAAUGCAACACUGAGGUCAGAGAAAGCACCAGUUUCUUGAAACCACCUGAGUGAUCCAAGAGGAAAUUGAGGCAAAGAAACUUGGAGGUGUUGGAACACAGUGCUGACCCUCCUAGAAACUUCCUUUGUGUCCCAGCCAAGGGUUUUUCAGCCUCCACCCCACCAUUCAGCUCUGGAAACCCUGUCGCAAUGAGAGUCAUGGAAGCACAAAGGACUUUCUAUCAAGGUAUCUUGCUUUCAAAGGACUAAGAAGUACUACUAAAUUUUGUUUUCUGUUGGUAUUCGUUUCAAGUUUUGUAGCAGACCUUUGCUGUGAACACUGUCAAUUCACCUAACUCCUCAGAAAGGGAUCAAAGCAAAUUUAUUGCUGGAUCCAGAAUGGUUUUCAUUUACUAAUUUCUCUAACAGAUUAUCUUCCAAGGUAAUCUGCUGCAUUGGCUAAGAAGGCAGAAUCUUGUCUUCAUCAGGACUGAAAGAGUACAGAUUAUACUCUCCCACUAAUACACUCUUACAGUUUAUCACAGACACAGCCAAAACCUCUGAAAGUAAAAAAUGUAGGAGAUGGAUGUAAUGAAUUUGAUUAGAUAUUUUUUCAUAACUCAGGGAACUCCUUGCACCAAAAUCUGUAAGAGCUUUGUUUAAAUAAUUGACAGUAAUUUGCAAAAGCUUAACAAUAUU